rnacentral:rRNA from 1 species
GAUGAACGCUGGCGGCGUGCCUAAUACAUGCAAGUCGAGCGAAUGGAUUAAGAGCUUGCUCUUAUGAAGUUAGCGGCGGACGGGUGAGUAACACGUGGGUAACCUGCCCAUAAGACUGGGAUAACUCCGGGAAACCGGGGCUAAUACCGGAUAACAUUUUGAACCGCAUGGUUCGAAAUUGAAAGGCGGCUUCGGCUGUCACUUAUGGAUGGACCUGCGUCGCAUUAGCUAGUUGGUGAGGUAACGGCUCACCAAGGUAACGAUGCGUAGCCGAACUGGGAGGGUGAUCGGCCACACUGGGACUGAGACACGGCCCAGACUCCUACGGGAGGCAGCAGUAGGGAAUCUUCCGCAAUGGACGAAAGUCUGACGGAGCAACGCCGCGUGAGUGAUGAAGGCUUUCGGGUCGUAAAACUCUGUUGUUAGGGAAGAACAAGUGCUAGUUGAAUAAGCUGGCACCUUGACGGUACCUAACCAGAAAGCCACGGCUAACUACGUGCCAGCAGCCGCCGCGG